rnacentral:lncRNA from 12 species
GGGGUCUUCAGGGAGGCUGAACUGCAACCAAAACUAUGGAGGAAAGUGAGAAAAUUGCCUUAAAAUUGGUUUGCAAGAGGCACAAAUCCCAUUGCAGAUACAUCCUCCUUGGAGGCAUCUCCAAGGAGAACAGGAAGAUGAGACAGAACAGCACAAGUCACCCAGUCUAUGCCAAGUUUCCUCUGACACAGACUGGUGGUAGAAGAGUGAGCCAGGUCAUACAAUACUGCCUACUCUGACAUGAGGUAAAGGAA